rnacentral:rRNA from 1 species
GACGAACGCUGGCGGCGUGCUUAACACAUGCAAGUCGAACGAAGAGCGAUGGAAGCUUGCUUCUAUCAAUCUUAGUGGCGAACGGGUGAGUAACGCGUAAUCAACCUGCCCUUCAGAGGGGGACAACAGUUGGAAACGACUGCUAAUACCGCAUACGAUCUAAUCUCGGCAUCGAGGAUAGAUGAAAGGUGGCCUCUACAUGUAAGCUAUCACUGAAGGUGGGGAUUGCGUCUGAUUAGCUAGUUGGAGGGGUAACGGCCCACCAAGGCGAUGAUCAGUAGCCGGUCUGAGAGGAUGAGCGGCCACAUUGGGACUGAGACACGGCCCAGACUCCUACGGGAGGCAGCAGUGGGGAAUCUUCCGCAAUGGACGAAAGUCUGACGGAGCAACGCCGCGGGAGUGAUGACGGCCUUCGGGUUGUAAAGCUCGGUUAAUCGGGACGAAAGGCCUUCUUGCGAAUAGGGAGAAGGAUUGACGGUACCGGAAUAGAAAGCCACGGCUAACUACGUG